UGGGGAAUUUUGGACAAUGGGCGAAAGCCUGAUCCAGCAAUGCCGCGUGUGUGAAGAAGGCCUUCGGGUUGUAAAGCACUUUUGUCCGGAAAGAAAUCCUCUGGGUUAAUACCUCGGGGGGAUGACGGUACCGGAAGAAUAAGCACCGGCUAACUACGUGCCAGCAGCCGCGGUAAUACGUAGGGUGCAAGCGUUAAUCGGAAUUACUGGGCGUAAAGCGUGCGCAGGCGGUUUUGUAAGACGGAUGUGAAAUCCCCGGGCUUAACCUGGGAACUGCAUUCGUGACUGCAAGGCUAGAGUAUGGCAGAGGGGGGUAGAAUUCCACGUGUGAGCAGUGAAAUGCGUAGAGAUGGUGGAGGAAUACCGAUGGCGAAGGCAGCCCCCUGGGCCAAUACUGACGCUCAUGCACG
rnacentral:rRNA from 1 species